AACUACCUACCUCGUUAAUGACCGUUCAGAAAAUUAGUUAUGAAAAAUUUAAAUAGUUCAGUUAGCCGUUGUUAGUGCUUCCUGCAACAACUAAAAAUACUCGAAAUGUUGAGAUAUAUGUUAAUUGUUGCACUUAACCUCAGCUUACUCGUUUUAACUCGUGGUAAUGAUUAUUACGAAGACGAUUCUUCGGAAGAUUCAGAAAACAUUAAGAUAACCGAUGUCUUGAAAAUGAUCGUAUUACCUCCAACUAACGAAAUGAAAAAUAUCCUAAAUUCUGGAAAUAAUAACACAAAAUCAAGCGAUUCGUCUAGACUGGAUUUUAUUCUGCAAGCAAUCGAGUACUGGAGGAAACAGAACAUGGAUGAAAAAAUCGAAGAAAAUUUGGGUAACGAUAACAACGCUACCAAAUUCACGUUCAAUUUUAGAGAUGAUUUUUUCGAUGAUAAUGAAUCGGCUUAUUCCCAUUUGUCGAAGAAAACGCAAGGUGAGCAUGAUGGUAUUGAUGGUGGAUCAAAUCAUGGGCAAAUUUAUCCUAGAAAGAGAAGAAGUAAGAUUCUUCAAGCUGUACCAUUGCCUUAUGCUUAUAAAAAGAAUUUGUAAUGAAGUGACUAGACUUGGAUUGAUUUUUCAAGAUUUUGCUAACAAAAAUUAUAAAUAGCUUUGGAUUUUGUUUGAGAUAGGUAAACAGCUGGCAUCUUGGAUGUUAAUUUUUCUUUUGUAUUUGUAGAAAGGAUAAUAAUUAUUGUUUUGAAUUGAGUUUACAAUAUUUAAUGCAUACAUCGUAUCGAUUUAUUUAAAAUACGUAAGCUGUACCUACUUUUUUUUUUUUUUUUUUUUUUUUUACUGAACCUUGGUGUGUUUGUGCUCUGUACCGCGGUGUAAAUAUUUUUCAUUUUAAAUUUGUCUAUAUUCUGAGCCAAGUAUCAAUAUUAUUAUGAAUUUUGAGCAGAACUCGAUGUCAAUUUCGCGAAUUAAUUCUGUCGGUUUUCGAUAAACGCUACGAAAAUAAAAGAUGGAAGAAAAAACACUGCUGCUCCUGCAACGGAAGAAUAGGCAACCCAAAUGGAUUAUGAAAUUUAAAAGGUCAUCUACCUUACUUACAAUUGAAUUUAGGUAGUUCGUAACUUCCUCUUUAAAAAAGAUUCAUUUUAUUUAUGGAUUACUUAUUGCAUCUAUAAAAUGUUACAUUCAACCUGAAGUAAAGACUGUGUUUAGUA